rnacentral:lncRNA from 1 species
UAGUUUCCGGUGUAGAAACUAUUGUGCGAAAAAGAAUUAACUAAGUGCUGAAAAAGAAAAUAGAAAUUGCAAAGGAAACAAUAUAAAAAUCGUAAAAGUAAUGCUGUAAAAAUGUGCUUGUACUGCUGGAAGAGAAAAAUUGCGAAAAAGAGAAAGCGGCGAAGAAGCGUGGAACCUCUAGGGUUUUCCGUAAGGUUACUAUUUAUAUUGGUCACUUG